ACCAGGGUGAGUGUGAGGCUGGUGGGGGUCUAGUCUGGGUGUUGGGCUGUCUGGACAGGAUCAUGUGCAGACCCUUAUUUUCUUCACCCUAGGGAGGAGUGGAGCUGCUCACUCUGCCAUGUGCUCCCUGACCUGAAGGAGGAGGAUGGCAGCCUCAGCCUGGAUGGUGCAGACAGCACUGGCGUGGUGGCCAAGCUCUCACCAGCCAACCAGCGGAAAUGUGAGCGUGUACUGCUGGCCCUAUUCUGCCAUGAACCCUGCCGCCCCCUGCAUCAGCUGGCUACCGACUCCACCUUCUCCCUGGACCAGCCCGGUGGUACCCUGGAUCUGACCCUGAUCCGUGCUCGCCUCCAGGAGAAGUUGUCACCUCCCUACAGCUCCCCACAGGAGUUUGCCCAGGAUGUGGGCCGCAUGUUCAAGCAAUUCAACAAGUUAACUGAGGACAAGGCAGACGUGCAGUCCAUCAUCGGCCUGCAGCGCUUCUUCGAGACGCGCAUGAACGAGGCCUUCGGUGACACCAAGUUCUCUGCUGUGCUGGUGGAGCCCCCGCCGAUGAGCCUGCCUGGUGCUGGCCUGAGUUCCCAGGAGCUGUCUGGUGGCCCUGGUGAUGGCCCCUGAGGCUGGAGCCCCCAUGGCCAGCCCAGCCUGGCUGUUCUCUGUCCUGUCACCCCAUCCCCACUCCCCUGGUGGCCUGACACCCACUCCCUGGUGG
rnacentral:sRNA from 1 species